AGGAAAACUUACAGGGGAAGGGUGAGAACCUUUGAUAAGGUUCGAGUCGAGCGACAGCGAGACAACGUUGCCGCAGGCAACGGCCCGACUGGUGCGCG
rnacentral:sRNA from 1 species